AGCAGUCCCAAAAGACGCACUCAACCGCCCAAACUCUCUCUCUCUCCUUCUCUAUCCUCCUCCUGUUCUACCACUCUUCCUGUACGAGAAAACUCUCCUCAGAGGCUGACGGCAGGCUGAAAGCUCCCGGGGACUGUCAGAGUAUUUCAUUAUUCAAACAAUGCUGGAAAGUGGAGCCAAUGAUCACUUUAGUGGUGCUGAUUUGUCAUGGUGACUAGACGAGGGAGGGAGACUUCACCGCGCACAGUCUUUUCAGAUCCCAAAGAGGAAGAGAUGUCACUUACUGAAUUCGAGGGCAUCGGUACAUUGGUCUCAAUGUAAGUCUCCGUCUUGGGCUCCACAGCAAGCUCCGCCUCCAGGAUCUUCUCCACAGGCAUGUCUUCGUUCACACUGCUGGUCGACUCCACCUCAUUCUCGUUGCGGUCCUUGGCUCGCUGGCGCUCCUCCUGGACGGCUCGAAUCAGGCAUCGCGGUGGUGGAGGGGUUCCGAAACGGUGGGGGGAUUCUGCUUUAUGGAAAGUGCUGUCUGGAGGUCAGCCCAAGGGUAAAAUACUUCUCCAGGAGUCAGAGAGAGAUUCGCUCAGCUCUUUUUGGGACGAGCGUGGCCCAGCUCUCCUGUGCCUCGGGGUACAGCGCGAGCUUAUGGGAUACAGAAACAGGCGAACGCAAGCAAAUGAUCAUAUCUAUGAAGCAAGCCGUGAUGAUAUAAAUAAGGGAGACGAAAGGUUGCUUUAAGGUCAUAGACAGUGGGUGUGAGAGCGAAACGUCAUGUAUGUAUGAUCACAUUUCUCUCUCUUCAACAACAGGAGAAGGAUUUACUCUCUCACAUGAAACAAGAGCUAGAGAUCUGGGCAAGGGACUGGAUCUUGGCUUUGCGAUCUAUAGCCAUAAUAAAUAAUUUAUGAAGCCAAACUCGUCUGACUGCUUGCAAAGACACUGACCUGAGUUUUUAAAACUUGUUUGAAUGCUUAAGUUUUGGAGCCGUAUCAUGAAUGAACUGUAUUACAUACGAAAAGAUUUUAAAACUGAACAUGAGUUUAUACAUAUAUAAAGAAAAGUGAUGGAAAAUACAUUUAAAAAGCUAUAAACACGACAGGCAAUUUGAAACAAAUCAUUAUAAUUAUUAUUUAUAGAAUUAUUGUACAUUAUUGUACAAUGUUUUGCCCUUGUCGUUUAUCUCAGAACAAAUAAUUAGAUAUUUCUGAUAUUAAUACUGAAAUAGUUAAUAUUUGAUCUGUAUGUUUCCCUGAAUGUGAAUGCGGUUUAGUGGUUUUAGAACCCCCCCCAAAAAACACACGUUAGCAACAAUAAUGCAUGUAAACAUCUAUAUGGGCUAUAACAGGCAUGCGAUGAUAUAAAAGUUCAUCUGUAUAAUCUUUGAAACAGAAAACAAGUCCCUACAGACAAAAUGAUUGUAAAAACAACAUUGAAAAAUUCUGAUAUCUCAUAAAUACGAAAUUAUUCUCUCUGACUCAGGGGCAAAAAAGUCUCUCAGAUCAAUAUUCCACCAGCUGUGUGCUAAAAUCUUCUAUUAGCAUGCUUAAGCACUUUCACGUAUCCUUUUCUUGGAGACAAGUGUGUAAAAAGUGCUAAUGCCCCAUUUUCUUCAGUGUGACAACCCACCCCUUACCUCUUCCUCUCUUUCAUCUCUCUUUGCCUCAAGUGAUGAUUUGGGAAAAAAAAUACGGUCUUCUAUAUUUAGUAACAAAAAGCCUAUCCGAGGAAAAAAAACUCGUAUCAACGAACCAUUUUCUGUUUCUUACAAAUACACUACCUGGAAUCUUAAGGUGCAGUUGUUGCUCAACAUGUGCAAAAUAAACUCGUUGACCUUUGUCUCAUAGUGAGCUGAUCGGCAGACUGAACAUCUAGCGAGUGCUAAUUAAGCGCCGACUUGCAGUCUGUCUAUUUAAUGGCUGAUUGAAGCUACACGAAUGUUUCUUCCAGAGUCACACAAAGGUAAGAUUGUGUCUAACAGUGAGUACAAAAAAACCCCCAUCUCUCCUCACAAUGGAAAGCUCAGGUCAGUCAGUGCAAAGAAAGAUGGACUCCUUCAACCAAGUCCUUAAGUACUUCGGCUAAUACAAAUGGAUACUAAAGGUGUGUUUACAUAGCAUUGGAAGUGAUUUAUUUUAAUGAGAGCUGGUGGAGUGAACAGUGCUAUAAAAUUUCAGAAGAAAAAAGCUAACUCUUCUAUCCACUACUU